GACGAACCGUGCAAGCGUUAUUCGGAUUCACUGGGCUUAAAGGGCGCGUAGGCGGGCCAUCCAGUCAGGGGUGAAAUCUUUCGGCUCAACCGGAGAAGUGCCUUUGAUACUGAUGGCCUCGAGGGAGGUAGGGGCAUGCGGAACUUCCGGUGGAGCGGUGAAAUGCGUAGAUAUCGGAAGGAACGCCGGUGGCGAAAGCGGCGUGCUGGACCUCUUCUGACGCUGAGGCGCGAAAGCUAGGGGAGCAAACGGG
rnacentral:rRNA from 1 species